CAAAUAUCUUCUUGGAAGGGACCAGCCGCGUUUGGUGGAAAUGAGGUGGGCCUGGCUCAGUGAGUAGAAGGCCUCAAAAGCAAAGCAGCGGCUUUUCUGAGAAAGAGGAAACUCCCACCAGGGACAGUAGCCUCAGCGGUGCCCACAGUUCCAGCCACCCUUCCCUGUGGUCGGCCCCAUGGAUUUCAAAUGCGCCUGGUCAGACCCAACAACCAAGUAAGUCGAUUCCCUGUGACAAAUCUUUUCAUAUAUAUCUCCUACGAGUUUUGUUUCUCUAGUUGGACCCUGACAGGUACACUCCUCAAAUCACCCCAAAACAAUGGAGAGAAACAGCAACUAGAAAUACAACGUCCAUCUUGGCAGAAAUCGGGGCCUCCUAUAGCCCCAAACCUCAGUGGAGGGGAAAGGAGGAAGAGAGAUGCCAAGAGAAGACGCUGCAGUGCCAGACCUGAGCCCUGCCCAGGUCAGCACAGCCCUCCUGGGUAGGAGCCCACCAGCAAGUCAGGAUGUGGUACACAAAAGCAGGUGAGGGGCUCAGAGUGGGCUCCCCUAAGCCCUGCAACACCCCCAAAGAGGGACAGGGAAGGUGGGCUGAGAGACAAAACACCCAGGUGUUCUCUGCCGAGUGGGCAAGAGGCAUG
rnacentral:lncRNA from 1 species